rnacentral:pre_miRNA from 11 species
AAAGCCAAAAAGAACAUUGUUGGAUCGGGUUUCGCGGUUAGCGUACUUUUUAACAAUAGUUAAGUUCGUUGUCGACGAAACCUGCAUACAAUUACUGUUAAAUCGUCUCU